CAGAGGUCCCAAGCGUUGUUCGGAUUCACUGGGCGUAAAGGGUGCGUAGGCGGUUCUGAAAGUCUGAUGUGAAAUCUCCAGACCCAACCUGGAGACGGCAUUAGAAACUGCAGGGCUAGAGGCUUGGAGGGGGGAACUGGAAUGCUCGGUGUAGCAGUGAAAUGCGUAGAGAUCGAGCGGAACACCAGUGGCGAAGGCGAGUUCCUGGACAAGUCCUGACGCUGAGGCACGAAAGCCGGGGGAGCAAACAGGAUUAGAUACCCUGGUAGUCCCGGCUGUAAACGGUGCACGUUUGCUGUGAGAGGAAUCGACCCCUUUCGUGGCGGAGCUAACGCGAUAAACGUGCCGCCUGGGGAGUACGGUCGCAAGAUUA
rnacentral:rRNA from 1 species